CGCUGGCGGCAGGCCUAACACAUGCACGUCGAGCGGAUGAAGGGAGCUUGCUCCUGGAUUCAGCGGCGGACGGGUGAGUAAUGCCUAGGAAUCUGCCUGGUAGUGGGGGAUAACGUCCGGAAACGGGCGCCAAUACCGCAUACGUCCUGAGGGAGAAAGUGGGGGAUCUUCGGACCUCACGCUAUCAGAUGAGCCUAGGUCGGAUUAGCUAGUUGGUGGGGUAAAGGCCUACCAAGGCGACGAUCCGUAACUGGUCUGAGAGGAUGAUCAGUCACACUGGAACUGAGACACGGUCCAGACUCCUACGGGAGGCAGCAGUGGGGAAUAUUGGACAAAGGGCGAAAGCCUGAUCCAGCCAUGCCGCGUGUGUGAAGAAGGUCUUCGGAUUGUAAAGCACUUUAAGUUGGGAGGAAGGGCAGUAAGUUAAUACCUUGCUGUUUUGACGUUACCAACAGAAUAAGCACCGGCUAACUUCGUG
rnacentral:rRNA from 1 species